rnacentral:rRNA from 1 species
UACGGGGGGAGCAAGCGUUGUUCGGAUUUACUGGGCGUUAAGGGCGCGUAGGCGGCCACCGCAAGUCGACUGUGAAAUCUCCGGGCUUAACCCGGAAAGGUCAGCCGAUACUGCGGGGCUAGAGUGCAGAAGGGGCAACUGGAAUUCUCGGUGUAGCGGUGAAAUGCGUAGAUAUCGAGAGGAACACCUGCGGCGAAGGCGGGUUGCUGGGCUGACACUGACGCUGAGGCGCGAAAGCUAGGGGAGCGAACGGG